CAUACCUUAUUCUCAUAGGAUUGAUGCUUAUGAAGGCGAGCUUGGAGUAAAGCAUAGGAACAACUUGUUGUUCUUCAUGGGACAUCGAUAUCGUAAAGAUGGAGGAAGAGUCCGAGAUUUGCUUUUCAAGUUGCUUGAGAAUGAAGACGAUGUUGUGAUCAAACAUGGAACUCAAACAAGAGAGAAUAGGCGUGCAG